rnacentral:rRNA from 1 species
UUCGAACUCCUACGGGAGGCAGCAGUGGGGAAUAUUGGACAAUGGACCAAGAGUCUGAUCCAGCAAUUCUGUGUGCACGAUGACGUUUUUCGGAAUGUAAAGUGCUUUCAGUUGGGAAGAAAAAAAUGACGGUACCAACAGAAGAAGUGGCGGCUAAAUACGUGCCAGCAGCCGCGGUAAUACGGAUGUCACAAGCGUUAUCCGGAUUUAUUGGGUGUAAAGCGCGUCUAGGUGGUUAUGUAAGUCUGAUGUGAAAAUGCAGGGCUCAACUCUGUAUUGCGUUGGAAACUGCAUGACUAGAGUACUGUAGAGGUAAGCGGAACUACAAGUGUAGAGGUGAAAUUCGUAGAUAUUUGUAGGAAUGCCGAUGGGGAAGCCAGCUUACUGGACAGAUACUGACGCUAAAGCGCGAAAGCGUGGGUAGCAAACAGGAUUAGAUACCCUAGUAGUCCUAUC